UACGUAGGGCGCAAGCGUUGUUCGGAAUUACUGGGCGUAAAGCGCACGUAGGCGGCAUUGCAAGUCGGAUGUGAAAUCCCUCGGCUUAACCAAGGAAGUGCAUCCGAAACUGCAGUGCUUGAGUACUUAAGAGGAUCGCGGAAUUCCCGGUGUAGAGGUGAAAUUCGUAGAUAUCGGGAGGAACACCAGUGGCGAAGGCGGCGAUCUGGGAAGAUACUGACGCUGAGGUGCGAAAGCGUGGGGAGCAAACAGG
rnacentral:rRNA from 1 species